rnacentral:rRNA from 1 species
GUCGAACGAUGACCCCCAGCUUGCUGGGGUGAUUAGUGGCGAACGGGUGAGUAACACGUGAGUAACCUGCCCCCGACUCUGGGAUAAGCCCGGGAAACUGGGUCUAAUACUGGAUAUGACCUUUGACCGCAUGGUUUUUGGUGGAAAGAUUUAUCGGUUGGGGAUGGACUCGCGGCCUAUCAGCUUGUUGGUGAGGUAAUGGCUCACCAAGGCGACGACGGGUAGCCGGCCUGAGAGGGUGACCGGCCACACUGGGACUGAGACACGGCCCAGACUCCUACGGGAGGCAGCAGUGGGGAAUAUUGCACAAUGGGCGAAAGCCUGAUGCAGCGACGCCGCGUGAGGGAUGACGGCCUUCGGGUUGUAAACCUCUUUCAGUAGGGAAGAAGCGAAAGUGACGGUACCUGCAGAAGAAGCGCCGGCUAACUACGUGCCAGCAGCCGCGGUAAUACGUAGGGCGCAAGCGUUAUCCGGAUUUAUUGGGCGUAAAGAGCUCGUAGGCGGUUUGUCGCGUCUGCCGUGAAAGUCCGAGGCUCAACCUCGGAUCUGCGGUGGGUACGGGCAGACUAGAGUGAUGU